GACGAACGCUGGCGGCGUGCUUAACACAUGCAAGUCGAACGGAGUGGCGAAAGGGUGAGUAACACGUGGGUGACCUGCCCUGCACUUCGGGAUAAGCCUGGGCAACUGGGUCUAAUACCGGAUAGUGUGGGAUGGGCCCGCGGCCUAUCAGCUUGUUGGUGGGGUAAUGGCCUACCAAGGCGGCGACGGGUCGGCGGCCUGAGAGGGUGGACGGCCACAUUGGGACGGAGACACGGCCCAGACUCCUACGGGAGGCAGCAGUGGGGAAUAUUGCACAAUGGGCGGAAGCCUGAUGCAGAGACGCCGAGUGGGGGAUGACGGCCUUGGGGUUGUAAACUCCUUUCACCAUCGACGCGGUAGAUGGAGAAGAAGCACCGGCUAACUACGUGCCAGCAGCCGCGGUAAUUC
rnacentral:rRNA from 1 species